rnacentral:rRNA from 1 species
UACCAGCUCUCCGAGUGGUAGGGAUGAUUAUUGGGCUUAAAGCGUCCGUAGCCGGCUUAGCAGGUCUCCUGUUAAAUUCAGCGACCUAAUCGUUGAGCCGCGGGAGAUACUACUAGGCUAGGAGGCGGGAGAGGUCGACGGUACUUCUGGGGUAGGGGUGAAAUCCUAUAAUCCCGGGAGGACCACCAGUGGCGAAGGCUGGUCGACUAGAACGCGCUCGACGGUGAGGGACGAAAGCUGGGGGAGCGAACCGGAUUAGAUGCCCGGGUAGUCCCAGCUGUAAACGAUGCGGGCUAGGUGUUGGGGUGGCUACGUGCCACUUCAGUGCCGCAGGGAAGCCAUUAAGCCCGCCGCCUGGGGAGUACGGCCGCAAGGCUGAAACUUAAAGGAAUUGGCGGGGGAGCACCACAAGGCGUGAAGCUUGCGGUUC